rnacentral:snoRNA from 1 species
AUGCAAUGAUGACAAAGAUCCAACACUGAUUUCAGUGAAGUUAAUCAGAUUAACGAGCUUUUUAACACUGAGCAUU